CAUCUUAUCAAUCCAGACAGCAGCAGACAAUGAUGUGACCCUCGUAGACCAUUUCUAUAAUCUACACACUACCACCAUGAUGCAUACUAAAUUAUAAUCUUCUUGGCAACUUCCUACAACUUCAAGCAAGCUAAAUCUAUAUGUCUAUAUAAGUAAGGCUCACAAAUGAAGUUGUGUAUUGUGUAUAUAUUCAGAUCAUCGAAAUCUUGUCAUAGAUAUCGAGCACAAUUAAUCUAAUUAAUUAUUUAAGAUGAUUGUGGUAAACAAACGCAUUCUAGCUACUUGUGUCUUUCUUCCUUCUCUGCUUCAUCUCUAUCAAUGCUAGAGCACAAAUACUGAAAGAAAAAAGCAAUAUGGAUAGCACUAGUGAUGCUAGCACAUAUUAUCAAAGUGAAACGCAUGAUGAUCACGUAUUUAAGCCAAAAGAAGAUAAAGAUAAUGCAAACGAAGUGUUCUCAAUGGAUUACACUCCAGCCAGAAGGAAGCCACCGAUCCACAAUUUGAAUUGAUCGAUCGAUGGAUAAAUUUAGUGCCACAACUUAUUUUAUAUACUAGGAAAUAUUUUACCAUGUAUUAUCCAAUGUCUUGCAAUUUUAUAGCGUUGUAAUUAUCUAGAAUACACGGUAAGAAAAUAUGCAUGUGUACAGUACUCUGCGAGAUCUCUAUUGAAAUUUCAGAAUAGUGAUACACUGAUACUUAUAUAUAAACUUAUAUAUUUACACAGGUA